rnacentral:tRNA from 1 species
GCCCACGUCGCAUAGUGGUAUUGCACCGGCUUGGAGAGCCGGGCCCUUUCGGGCAUCCAGGUUCGAUUCCUGGCGUGGGCG